UUUCCGUAGGUGAACCUGCGGAAGGAUCAUUCAUAAUAAGUGUUUUACUGCACUUUUUAAAAAUAGUACUCACCUUGUGUGCAAUGUUGUGGUUCUUUUCGGAGAAACACCUACACCAACCUAUAACCUUGAACCACUUUGUCUGAAAAACUAUUAUGAAUACUUAAUUCAAAAUACAACUUUCAACAACGGAUCUCUUGGCUCUC
rnacentral:misc_RNA from 1 species